rnacentral:tRNA from 2 species
GCACCCGUAGCUCAGAUGGAUAGAGCGCUGCCCUCCGAAGGCAGAGGCCAGGGGUUCGAAUCCCUUCGGGUGCGCCA